AAGGAAGUAAAGAGUAUCCAGAGAAGUAAACAACUUUAAGGAAUAGCAUUGGCGAUAGCAAAACUAGCCAAUGAUAUGUUGCUAUUGCAGCCUGUAACCAAUAGCAAAAAGACACAUGUGCUGAUAAAGACUAUAUAAAAAAAGCGUUUGUGGCAAUAAACUUACUGCUUGUGUUUCAGAAGAACAGUGUGUGUGUGUCGUUCGUCCGUCUCAACAACGACAUCUGGUGACCCCAACGUGAUAUUGCACGGGAAAAGACGGCAGAAGAAAGCCGUGGAGAUGGAGCCCAGCAUAGCUGAGAGCGUCAAGGAGAGCUGCUGUUGAUCCGGAUCGUGAAUAAGACACCUGGAAAGAUCAAAGUCCUGGAUAACCCAUCAGGUGUCUUUCAUUUCAUGCAGUCUCUUGCCUUGCUUAUGUUUCCUGUCAAACUUUACAGCAGCCCUUGCAGAUGGUGAACCCCUUUAAGACGGUCCAGGCCUUCGGGUCGACAUGCCGCAUCAGUGUUCAGUCGAUCUUGGCCCCCCUGGUCACUGCUACUGGUGCUUUCUGCAACCACCAGUCCGAGUGGAGAUGUUCAGGGUCCCUGUUCGGGCGCCACUUGUGAGCGGCGGAGGAACAAGCUGAGAUGACUCAAUGUGAGUGAUAGAGCAUAGUUCACUUUAUUAGUUCAAACAGUGCAUACUUAUAGAGUCUACAAUAAUUAUGCCUACUUGUCACUCACUAAUUGGCUUAAUACUUAUGCAGUCUAGAAUAAUUAUGCCUACUUGUCACUCACUAAUAGGAUUAAGCUCUAACGGUCACAUUUGCAUGGUCCUCCUACUUGCGGUUCACUAGCUAUGCAUGUUUCCUUAAAGUUAUUUAUGAAACUCUGCCAAGGUUGUAGUGUCCUUGCCAAUUCUGCUGAUGCAGUCAGUAGUCUCCACUGUGGCCUAGUCUUGCUACUUAUGCUAAGGCUUUCAGAACAGGCUCUGCUCGUACAACUGCUCUGUAGACCCAUGUCCUUUGUCCUUAAGCCAUUCCCCAACAAGAAAGCAUUCUUUAUUAACAGCGCUGGGGAACACUAGGGAUCAUCCACAAUAAGUGCUCCAAUGACUGGCUGUUCUUGCGUUGCUUAUAUUCACACAAUUAUUGCAUAUUCAUUACAAUUUUUGGAAAUUUUUAACAUACAAUACAUCCAUAUUAAAAAAAAUAAUUGCAUAAGGUUAGUACGUAAUUAGUUAUUUCACGGUCUUUACUGCCAUCUAGCGUCCUCUUUCAGGUACCGCAGCCUCGUGCUGGGGAGGGUCUUUUCACGUGUCUCCUAAUCAACCUCUCCACUGAAGUGCAACUGGUACACACAUAAGUAAUUGAUUAGUUUCACACAUAAGUAAUUGUUUAGUUUCUUACUUACAAUACAUCUAUUAAUUAUUAAUUAAAUAUAAACUAAGCACUCUGCUUCUAAACAAUGUGUCACUUAAUCUUCUGUCUCCCUCUUGUCAUGCAGAAGGAUCUAAAACUUGAAAAAUAUCCCCUUGUUUUUCAGGUGGUUAGAAAGCAUUUAUCAUGUCAGUUGGUUAAUGAUGGCUAUGUCUUUUGUAACUUAAUCACAGUAUACAUUAAUUUAGCAGUUUCUCUUCAGCAUCCCCAGUCUUUCAACAUCUUGUUGCGUCAGUAUUGAAAUUUGUGCUCCUGUGUCUAUUAAAAACUUCACCAACUGUCCUCGAAGGCCAACUGGAAUUAAAAUGUAUGGGCCAUCAGCAUUCACCCAUUGAUAAGCUUCUACCUUCCAGAUAGGUAGGUCCAGUUGCCAUUUGCGAGAAACUAAUCUAAUAGAAACCCAUCUAAUAGAAACCCAUCCACACAGUAACUUCAAGAAAAUCCCUCAAAUCUCCCACAGCCAUCCAGACCUUAAUAGUUUUUUGGAUUCAUGCCCUGCAGUUCUUCCCUCAGAGGGAGAAAAGGGAUAACACUCCUUCUCUGAGCAGGCAGCGGAGCAGUUGAAAUAUGUUCCUUCUUCUCUCUAUUAUCUCAUUUGAGGAAUGCUUCAGUGAGACCUAAAAUAAUGCUGGGAGGCUGUCUCUGGAUUGCAGCUUUAAGAAUGCCUAGUGCCAAUGCUUUUUUCCACAGUCUGUUUCUCUACUCCCAGGACUCUGCUUGGAAAGUCUUUAAGUAUCUUUUCCCUUAAUUCAGUUUCUGUCCCCUGUGGGUUUUUUUGUUUCACUGGUCUUACUCGAGCAGAUUUUUGGUCAAAUUUUUCAGCUGCUGGGAUAUCCCACCCCAUCUCAUGGGUGUGAGUUACAAUGUCAUGCAUUAAUUCUGCCCAUGUGGGGACUGGAAUCUGGGCAGCAUUGGGGCCUAAUCCUUUCUUGUAGUGAGACAUAAAAUCAGCAGUUAAUAAUAAAAUAAGUCUAUACAAAUAAGGGUCAUAGAUUUUAGGCGUUUACUAAGUUAAUAAAAAUCACAGAAUCACAGCUGUUAGGUGUUAGGCACUUGUUAGGAGUUAAGUCACAAGAAUGGUAUUUGUUAAGCAGGAGAAGGUUAGGAGACAAUGACCUUACUUUCAGAAGAUAAGGUGCUGACACCAGCGCAAGCAGGUUACAAGCCAAAUAAAAAAGGGAUCUAAUGCAUAUGCAAAGGAUUUCUUGGAAAUGUAACUAAUAUGUAUGAUCUAUGUGGAUAUAACCUGUGUCUGGAAAUUGUUCGAGGCCCCCAUUAGGUGAAAAUUAUUCCUGUUGGAGCUGAUGUGUCAAUAAAGGGUGUUUGUUUCUAAAAUUGUAAAUUGAUCUGGUUUUAGAAGUUUCUUCAGUUAGCCAAUUUAUGGUAUCAGUAGUGCGUAUGUCUUCUGAUUUCAUCUCAUUUUGCAACCAGGCAGGGUUUAAGAAUUUCCGGGCUCCUCUUAUCAGUGUUUUUAACCUUCCAUAAUUAAUUGUGGUAGAUAUUGGGGUUUCAUUUUCUCCUCUUUCAUACAUUGCUUUUAUACAGGCAGCUUUUGCAAUAGCUAUCUGGAUGUCAUCAAUAGAUUUUAUGGGCAUCAUGGAGGGUUCACCUCAUUCCAUAACAUCUAUUCCACCAGCCCAAUAAGCUACUUGGCUGGUAAUAGAGUGGCCAUCAUCGGCUGGAUCAGGUCCGAUAUUUAAGAAAACUCCUGGGCCCCAAAAGCCAUUUGAUUCACUUCCAUUAAGUAUCAUCCAGUCACCACCAGUUAGACUCGCCACAAAUACUCUGUUUCAGUAUCACCCAGUUUUCUGCCGUACUUUUAAUUUGACAACUGCACCGUAUCCCGGGGAAUAACUCGCACAUGAUGUCGCAGAGCACCACCCUGGGGCCUACUGGACGUUUCUGUUUAACAAUAGGUCUGGCUUCAUAUUCAGGGGGAUCCGAGAAAGACAAGGAAUCAUCCUCCCCCAUAUCACCAUCAUCAGGGUUGUUAUAGUUGGCUGUAUUUUGCUUUUGUAAACUGUAUCCAAGAUUCUCACCUUAUCUUGAAAUUUCACAGGUUGUAUACAAGUUUUAUCUCUUAGUUUGAGAAUAGAGAACUGAAAGUUAGUUCUGUUAGUUCUCAGUGGGUCCUUAUCUUAUCUUGAAUGGAUAGGAUGUGCUGAGGAUGCACAUCUAAGAAAUCUGAGUAUUUUACAUGAUUUCAUAAUGAAUAUAGGAAUAGUGCGCAUGUGCAGUGACAAAAGGUGAAAAGUACACGAGUGAAGAAGACUCCUUACUUCAUCCUGAAGACCCCCUGAACGACCACCAGAGGACACUGCGCAUGCUUAGAGUAGUUCCAAGGUGUUGCAACUGAUAUUGUGAAAUAGUUGUGUAAUCUGAUGAAUAUGCAAUACAUACGUUGUAACCCUAAUGAAUAUGUAUGUAACCAAAUUGUAUAAAUGUAGUGGAGUUCAAAUCAGUGGUCGAAGCCAGCUUUGGGUGCGAACCCUUGGUUUCCCAGAGCUGAAAUAAAAGCACCGCAUAUAACUACGUCUGUGGUUAUUUGUCUCAUUUGCUAACAUUUUGGCGACCCAGAUGGGACCUCGUGGGCACUGCUGAGGCGGAUCGUGUCUUGAUCCUGCUCCAGCUAGCACCGAGGUAUUCUUGGGGAGCGCAUCGGACGCGACCGACCCUCCGCUGCUCUCGACAGACCUCUGAUUGGUAAGAAGGUCCUUUUAUUAUUAUUUGGGUACCCAACAUCUGGUUCCUGAAUCCUGGUAGCCUGCCGGUCAGACGCGGCGAAAGCCACGCUCAGUUGGGCAGGGAGCUCCCGAUCGGUAAAGCCUAUAGGCGCCGUCCGUCAGACAGAGGGAAACCUCUGCAGGUUCGGCAUUUGGUCUGGUUCCUGAAUCCUGGUUCCUGAAUUUAUUCCAGUCUGGUUCCUGAAUCCUGGUUUCUGAAUUUGUUCUGGUCUGGUUCCUGUAUUUGUUCCUGUAUUUUUUCCUGUAUUUGGUCUGGUUCUUGUAUUUGUUUCUGUACUUGUUCUGGUCUGGUUCGGUUCCUGUAUUUGUGUGUGUUUGUUGAUAUGUCCAAUUCAAACGUAUCGCCAUUAAAUUGCUUACUGAAACAUUAGAAGGAGGCUGGGUUUGGACAGUUUAUGCAUAAAAAGAAGUGUAAUUGUGAUCUGUUUGCAUAUUUGAACUCGGUAUUCGGUUUGCGUGUCUGAGCUCAGUAUUUUAGUUUGUAUGUUUAUAUUUGGUACCAAAAGAAUUUGUUUGGGGAAAUAAUUACAAAAUAAGAACCGGUUCUGUUACUAAAGUACCACCUUGCUCCCCCUUCAUAUGCAGCUGUACACAUGAAAGUAAAUUGAGUUAGCUGUAUUGCAGUUAGUGUUGUUCUGUGGAUAGACUGAUUUGAAUCUAAAAUUAAUGUCAGGGAUUGAUGCUUAGUAUGCUGUUUAUUGACAUCUGUAAGAAGUUACAAAAGGUAGGAGCUGAGGGAUGUAACUAUUGUUCAGCUAAUUGGAAUUGCAUAUAAAGUUUAUAAUCGCAGGAAUUAAAUGAAGAGAGAAAAAGGGCAAAAGGAGCCCAAACCUGUGCCCGGCAGCUUCUCCUUGAUAAGCUGUGGAGAAAAAAAAAAAAAGGUGAAAAGCUGACUGCCUGCUAAAGCGCUGGAAAAGGUGGGGGGAGUGGCGGCUGCUAGAGCUGGUGCUGCAGCUCCUCUCCUCUGGGCUCGCCGCCCACAGGGGAUGAAGUGGGGGGGGGAUCAUCAAAUGUAAUAGCACCCCUGCGGCAGGCAGUAGGUGUGGGGGGGAACCAGUCUAUGUAAAAGUUCCGUUUUUGCCAGGGGAUUUAGUAAUCUGGAAGCAAUCGGCUGGUCCUUAUCGGGAAAAUCCAGAUAAGGUUGCAAUAAUUAAGAUGAUAAUUAAGAUGCAGAAUCCUGAUUGGGAUGAUUUACAAGUUAUUUUGGAUACAUUAAUGGAUUCUACAGAAAAGGAUAUGGUUAUACGGGUUGCAAGGGAUAAAGUGAGAGAAGAUAUCCGGAAUGGGAAAGUAGAGGGCAAUGUUGAUGAGAACUUUCCAAAAGAAGAUCCCCGAUGGAAUUAUAAUACAGGAGGCGGGUUAUGCCGUCUCCGGAGAUAUCAGGAUUGGUUAUUGAUUGGUGUUCAAACUGCUAUGCCGAAGCAAAUGAAUUGGUCAAAAUUGUAUAACGUAAGGCAGGAGAAGAACGAGUCUCCCUCAGACUUUUAGAAAGAUUAAAAGAGGCUGCCAAAAGAUAUACGGAUUUAGAUAUAGAAAUGGAACAAGCGAAAACUCAGUUGGCUUUAAUUUUCUUGGGACAGUCUCAAGAUGACAUUCGGAAGAAAUUGCAGAAAUUAGAAGGUGCACAAUUAAGGGAUUUGGACGUAAUGUUAGAAACAGCUUGGAAAGUUUAUAAUAAUAGUGAAAAAGAGCAGUCGAGACUUCACCAGCAAAAUUUGUUAGCUUUGAUCCAGGGACAAGGCAGGGGAGUAGGGGUCCGGGGUAGGGGAGCUGGAAAUAGUUGAGGAGGAGGUCGGGGACGUGGUUUGUGGAAUACCCAAGGAACU